AAAACGGGGAAAGAUUUGACUGCUUGCAACCCCGGAACGUGCUGCCGUAUGCAGCCAACUAAAAAAAUGCUAAAAU
rnacentral:ncRNA from 1 species